rnacentral:rRNA from 1 species
UACGAAGGGGGCUAGCGUUGCUCGGAAUUACUGGGCGUAAAGGGCGCGUAGGCGGAUAGUUUAGUCAGAGGUGAAAGCCCAGGGCUCAACCCUGGAAUUGCCUUUGAUACUGGCUAUCUUGAGUUCGGGAGAGGUGAGUGGAACUCCGAGUGUAGAGGUGAAAUUCGUAGAUAUUCGGAAGAACACCAGUGGCGAAGGCGACUCACUGGCCCGAUACUGACGCUGAGGCGCGAAAGCUAGGGGAGCAAACAGG